UGAGGAAUAUUGGUCAAUGGGCGAGAGUCUGAACCAGCCAAGUAGCGUGCAGGAUGACGGCCCUAUGGGUUGUAAACUGCUUUUAUAUGGGAAUAAAGUGAGGGACGUGUCAUUUAUUGCAUGUACCAUACGAAUAAGGACCGGCUAAUUCCGUGCCAGCAGCCGCGGUAAUACGGAAGGUCCAGGCGUUAUCCGGAUUUAUUGGGUUUAAAGGGAGCGUAGGCUGUUUGUUAAGCGUGUUGUGAAAUGUAAGAGCUCAACUUUUAGAUUGCAGCGCGAACUGGCAGACUUGAGUGCGCACAACGUAGGCGGAAUUCAUGGUGUAGCGGUGAAAUGCUUAGAUAUCAUGACGAACUCCGAUUGCGAAGGCAGCUUACGGGAGCGCAACUGACGCUAAAGCUCGAAGGUGCGGGUAUCGAACAGG
rnacentral:rRNA from 1 species